ensembl:lncRNA
AUAAUUUUGACGUGGUGUUGUAUAUUGCUGUGGGCUGCUGUGUAUUGCCGUGUGUCCUGUCAGAUAAACUCCCGCCUUCACGCACUUCGUCGCGGGAGGACAAGGAGACUGCUGGUCCUAGCCUAGUUCAGUACAGUAUAUGUUGUGAGCGUGCUUCAGAUCUCCGGAGAUAGCACGGUACGCUGUGUCCAGCCCAGAGGUGAAAGCCAUCCAAAGCAGAGUAACUGUGCUUUGUGCCCAAGUUGAUACCUGUGGAGAGGAAAGGAAAGAGAGAGUGAGUAACACAAGGAGAACCAGAGGGAACCUGUACUUACAGUACGCUGUGUUCAGCCCAGAGUUGAUACCUGUGGAGAGAAAAGGAGAGAGAGUGGGUAACACGAGGAGAGACCGAGGAAACCUGUACUUACGCCGCUGCCUGUGGAGAAAGAGAAAGCGAGUGAGCACCCAAGGAACGAACUGUGUGAACCAGUACUUACUGUGAGCUGUAAUCAGCGAAGAGCCGUUGCCUGUGGAGGAAGAGAAAGAGUGAGCACCUCGAGAACGAACUGUGUGAACCAGUACUUACCGUGAGCUGUAUUCAGCGAAGAGGAGGAAGAAGGAGGGCGCUACGGAUACCUAAGACUCAGGCCGGGGCCCGAGUCCCACGCCCCGGAUCCCCGUGGCCCCCUUGCUCCCUGACCUCUUCCCGGCCAUAGCCCAUCUGGAGGGCCGAGUCAGAGUUUAGUUUUAAUUGCCCUUUCCCUAUUCCCCAAGCUAUUUUUAAAUAUUUAAAUAAAGAUUGUUUUAUCACUUACUUGUUCUCGUGUUGUUUGGCCAUUGGGUUGGCUUUGGGGACCUCCUCGAGGU